GACGAACGCUGGCGGCGUGCUUAACACAUGCAAGUCGAGCGGAAGGGCGCUGCUUUUGUUUGGUUCUCGUGUGGGGAAGGGGUGAGUAACACGUGAGUAACCUGCCCUUUACUUUGUGAGAUCUUCAGGGAACUCGGGCUAAUACCUGGGAGGAUCUCCUGCUGCGUGGGGGUGGUUGGAAAGUUUCGGCGGUUGGGGAUGGACUCGCGGCUUAUCAGCUGGUUGGUGUGGUAGGUGCUUACCAGGGCUUUGACGGGUAGCCGGCAUGAGAGGGUGACCGGCCACAUUGGGACUGAGAUACGGACCAGACUCCUACGGGAGGCAGCAGUGGGGAAUAUUGCACAACGGGCGGAAGCCUGAUGCAGCAACGUCGCGUGCGGGAUGACGGCCUUCGGGUUGUAAACAGCUUUCGAAUGUGACGAAGAGUGCGUGACGGUAAUGGGUCAAGAAGCACCGGCUAACUACGUG
rnacentral:rRNA from 1 species